rnacentral:lncRNA from 1 species
AGAUUUCCCCUCAGGUCUCAUUGUCCAAUAUUUGGUUACUUGCCAACCAGCCAAGUCCUGACUACAAGGGAGACUGAGAAAGUGACUAUCUCUAGUGGGACUGGGCCCUGCUGGUGAGGAAGAAGUAGUGGUGGCUAGGGGAUAGAUAACUGUCUGUCAAAAGCUCAUUGCAAAGAAGCAAGUAGUUACACAUCAACCGAC